UGCCAGCAGCCGCGGUAAUACGGAGGGUGCAAGCGUUGUCCGGAUUUAUUGGGUUUAAAGGGUACGUAGGCGGCCAAUUAAGUCAGUGGUGAAAGCCAGCAGCUCAACUGUUGAACUGCCAUUGAUACUGAUUGGCUCGAGUUCUGUUAAGGUAGGCGGAAUUGAUGGUGUAGCGGUGAAAUGCAUAGAUACCAUCAGGAACACCGAUUGCGAAGGCAGCUUACUAGGCAGAAACUGACGCUAAUGUACGAAAGCGUGGGGAUCGAACAGGAUUAGAUA
rnacentral:rRNA from 1 species